rnacentral:rRNA from 1 species
AAUCAACGCUGGCGGCGUGCCUCAGACAUGCAAGUCGAACGAUUAAGACUUCCUUCGGGAAGUGCAUAAAGUGGCGCACGGGUGAGUAACACGUAAGUAAUCUACCCUCGAGUGGGGAAUAACGUUCGGAAACGAACGCUAAUACCGCAUAACGCAGCGGCACCGCAAGGUGACAGUUGUUAAAGGAGUAAUUCGCUUGAGGAGGAGCUUGCGGCAGAUUAGCUAGUUGGUAAGGUAACGGCUUACCAAGGCUACGAUCUGUAUCCGGUCUAAGAGGACGGUCGGACACACUGACACUGAAUAACGGGUCAGACUCCUACGGGAGGCAGCAGUCGGGAAUUUUGGGCAAUGGGCGAAAGCCUGACCCAGCAACGCCGCGUGAAGGAUGAAGUAUUUCGGUAUGUAAACUUCGAAAGAAUGGGAAGAAUAAAUGACGGUACCAUUUAUAAGCUCCGGCUAACUACGUGCCAGCCGCCGCCGUAA